rnacentral:misc_RNA from 1 species
GUGGGAAUUAAAGUGAAAGUCCGGUGCAAAAUUAAUCCUACAUAUAAUUCGAAGUUAGUACUGCUGACUUCCAAUGGUAUAGAGUAGCCAAAUUAUUAGGCAUCUAACUGUAUCAUUCCAUUUCAGAAGCUGUAGAUGUUUUUUCUUCGUCCUCUAGUAGAUAGUGGCCCUCCCAUUGAAUUCUCUCGUCAUCAACUUCAAUAUUUGGGAUGUGGGAAAUGAAAGGCCAAUCUGCACCUUCUUUAUUUGCGCAUCUUUCUUUCGUUCAAUAGGGGACACGAUUUAACUUUCAGUUCUCGUAAAGAUAUUAGGGAACAAAUCUCUCGAGGUAAAGAAGUUAAUCUUGGGCAACCAGUAAUCGUUAAAGUGUGAAGAGAAGUGAGAUUCUGCAAUCCAUCUGACGGUAGAGAUUCGAGUUCCUCAAUCUCCUCAAUCUCAAGAUACUUCAAUUUAGAGAGAGGAGGACUGAUUGAGG